rnacentral:rRNA from 1 species
UACGGGGGGGGGCAAGCGUUGUUCGGAAUUACUGGGCGUAAAGGGCGAGUAGGUGGCCAUCUAAGUCAGACAUGAAAUCCCCCGGCUUAACCUGGGAACUGCGUCUGAUACUGGACGGCUUGAGUAUGGGGAGAGGAACGUAGAAUUCCAGGUGUAGCGGUGAAAUGCGUAGAUAUCUGGAGGAACACCGGUGGCGAAGGCGGCAUCCUGGACCAACACUGACGCUGAGGAGCGAAAGCCAGGGGAGCAAACGGG